AAAGUACUCCCUUCGUCCCAAAAUUCUUGUCUUAGAUUUGUCUAGAUAUGGAUGUAUCAAGUCACAUUUUAGUAUUAGAUACAUCCGUAUCUAGACAAAUCUAAGACAAGAAAUUUGGGACAGAGGGAGUAGUUG
rfam:Triticum aestivum genome assembly, contig: Triticum_aestivum_CS42_TGACv1_scaffold_210711_3AS